AUUGUAAAGUGAGCGAGAGGAAGAGAGUUUUGUGGGGGUAAGGAGAAGGAAGAUGGAGAAGGAGAAGCAUUGGAUAUCGAAAUCGAAUUCAAAGGUGUGUAAAAGAUGCAAGCAAAACUAUGAGCCGGCUUCUAACACUUGAACCUCUUGCCGUUUCCACACUUCCUUCUUCGUUUGUCGCCGUCACGACGAUCAAAAGAGGUACUAUGAAUUGGGCCCGGAUGAUCCACCUUAUGCUGCCAAGUUCUAUGACUGUUGUGGGGCUGAAGACCCUGAAGCUUCUGGCUGCACAACCAAUUUUCAUGUCUCUUAUGACGAAGACUGAUGAUAUAAUAUCUCAUCUUACUACUUAGUAUUGGACAAUUUACCAUCAUCAUACUUGUCUCAUUUUUACCAAUAUAUAUGUUUUCAGAUUCUUCAUCUAUACCUUGUUUUGUUGUGCACAAACUGAGUUUGAUGAUCAUGUUUUCUUAAUUUCUAAUUUUUCAUCUGCACGUAUUCCUUGUAAAUGAUUUUCAUAUUAUUUCUAAACAUCACUAGUGGCCAUCUCUCGUGGGAUGCGAUUGCAAUUGGGACUUGGAACACUGCCAUGCCUUACCUUUUAGGAUUUA